rnacentral:rRNA from 1 species
UACGAAGGGGGCUAGCGUUGUUCGGAAUUACUGGGCGUAAAGCGCGCGCAGGCGGUCUUCCAAGUCAGUGGUGAAAGCCUGGAGCUCAACUCCAGAACUGCCAUUGAAACUGUUGGACUUGAGUACGAGAGAGGUGAGUGGAAUUCCCAGUGUAGAGGUGAAAUUCGUAGAUAUUGGGAAGAACACCAGUGGCGAAGGCGGCUCACUGGCGCGUAACUGACGCUCAGGCGCGACAGCGUGGGGAUCAAACAGG